AACGAACGCUGGCGGCGUGCUUAACACAUGCAAGUCGAACGCGAAAGGGACUUCGGUCCUGAGUAAAGUGGCGCACGGGUGAGUAACGCGUAGGCAACCUACCCUUGUAUUGGGGAUAACCCCGCGAAAGCGGGGCUAAUACCGAAUGAGACCCUGUUCUGGUGGGGACAGGGUGAAAGUCGGCCGCUCGGAGAAGCUGACGUACGAGGAUGGGCCUGCGUCCUAUCAGCUAGUUGGUGGGGUAGUGGCCUACCAAGGCGACGACGGGUAGCUGGUCUGAGAGGACGAUCAGCCACACUGGAACUGAGACACGGUCCAGACUCCUACGGGAGGCAGCAGUGAGGAAUAUUGCUCAAUGGCCGC
rnacentral:rRNA from 1 species